rnacentral:rRNA from 1 species
GACGAACGCUGGCGGCGUGCUUAACACAUGCAAGUCGAACGGAAAGGCCCUGCUUUUGUGGGGUGCUCGAGUGGCGAACGGGGGAGUAACACGUGAGUAACCUGCCCUUGUCUUUGGGAUAACUUCAGGAAACUGGGGCUAAUACCGGAUAGGAGCUCCUGCUGCAUGGUGUGGGUUGGAAAGUUUCGGCGGUUGGGGAUGGACUCGCGGCUUAUCCGCUUGUUGGUGGGGUAGUGGCUUACCAAGGCUUUGACGGGUAGCCUGCCUGAGAGGGUGACCGGCCACCUUGGGCCUGAGAUACGGCCCAGAAUCCUACCGGAGGCAGCAGUGGGGAAUAUUGCACAAUGGGCGGAAGCCUGAUGCAGAAACGCCGCGUGCGGGAUGACGGCCUUCGGGUUGUAAACCGCUUUCGAAUGUGCCGAAGCGUGAGUGACGGUAAUGGGUAAAGAAGCACCGGCUAACUACGUG